rnacentral:rRNA from 1 species
CCUUGUACACACCGCCCGUCACACCAUGGGAGUGGGUUGUACCAGAAGUAGGUAGAAUAACCGCAAGGGGUUCGCUUACCACGGUAUGAUUCAUGACUGGGUG